UACGAAGGGGGCUAGCGUUUUUCGGAAUUACUGGGCGUAAAGCGCACGUAGGCGGAUUUGUUAGUCAGGGGUGAAAUCCCGGGGCUCAACCUCGGAAUUGCCUUUGAUACUGCAAGUCUCGAGUCCGGAAGAGGUGAGUGGAAUUCCUAGUGUAGAGGUGAAAUUCGUAGAUAUUAGGAAGAACACCAGUGGCGAAGGCGGCUCACUGGUCCGGUACUGACGCUGCGGUGCGAAAGCGUGGGGAGCAAACAGG
rnacentral:rRNA from 1 species